rnacentral:rRNA from 1 species
CCCUUAGAUGUCCUGGGCCGCACGCGCGCUACACUGAUGCAUUCAACGAGUUUCACCUUGGCCGAGAGGCCUGGGCAAUCUUUUAAACCCGCAUCGUGAUAGGGAUAGAUUAUUGCAAUUAUUAAUCUUGAACGAGGAAUUCCUAGUAAACGCAAAUCAUCAAUUUGCAUUGAUUACGUCCCUGCCCUUUGUACACACCGCCCGUCGCACCUACCGAUUGGAUGGUCCGGUGAAGCCUCGGGAUUGUGGUUCUUGCCGCUUUAUUGUGGCGUGACCGCGAGAACUUGUCUAAACCUUAUCAUCUAGAGGAAGGUGAAGUCGUAACA